rnacentral:rRNA from 1 species
UAAAGAAUCUUUCGCAAUGGGGGAAACCCUGACGAAGCGAUACCGCGUGAGCGAUGAAGGUCGUAAGAUCGUAAAGCUCUUUUCUGAAGGAAUAAUUCUGAAGGUACUUUAGGAAUAAGCACCGGCUAACUCCGUGCCAGCAGCCGCGGUAAUACGGAGGGUGCAAGCGUUAUCCGGAAUCAUUGGGCGUAAAGCGUACGCAGGUGGUUUGUUAAGUUGAGUAUUAAAUCUUGAAGCCUAACUUCAAGGCCGUGCUCAAAACUGGCAAACUCGAACACUUUAGAGGUGCAUGGAAUUCUGUAUGUAGGGGUAAAAUCCGUUGAUAUACAGAAGAACACCAAAAGCGAAGGCAGUGCACUGGAAAGUUGUUGACACUCAUGUACGAAAGCGUGGGGAGCGAAAAGG